CUGCCAGUAGUCAUAUGCUUGUCUCAAAGAUUAAGCCAUGCAUGUCUAAGUACAAGCCUUAUUAAGGUGAAACCGCGAAUGGCUCAUUAAAUCACACCUAAUAUACUGGAUAUUCUCAGUUACUUGGAUAACUGCGGUAAUUCUGGAGCUAAUACAUGCGACAAAAUCCCGAACUUACGUGAGGGAUGCUUUUAUUAGAUCAAAACCAAACAGCGCAAGCUGUACAACUUGGUGACUCUGAAUAACAUUUGCAGAUCGCAUGGCUUUACGCCGGCGACGUGUCCUUCUAAGGUGUGCCCUAUCAACUGUCGACUGUGGCAUAGACGCCCACAGUGGUUUUGACGGGUAACGGGGAAUCAGGGUUCGAUUCCGGAGAGGGAGCCUGAGAAACGGCUACCACUUCUAAGGAAGGCAGCAGGCACGCAAAUUACCCAAUGGUCGAAGACCGAGGUAGUGACGAAAAAUAACGAAGCCGGACUCAUCCGAGGCCCGGUUAUCGGAAUGAGUACACUUUAAAUCCUUUAACGAGGAACAAUUGGAGGGCAAGUCUGGUGCCAGCAGCCGCGGUAAUUCCAGCUCCAAUAGCGUAUAUUAAAGUUGUUGCGGUCAAAAAGCUCGUAGUUGGAUUUCGGUGAGCAAGGAGGGGUUCAUCGUUUGAUGUAACUGCUAUCUUGUCUCGCGAUUUUUCGGCAGAGGUUUCAAUGGUGCCUUUCAAAGGGUGUCUUGAGAUACUGUCGGGUUUACUUUGAAAAAAUUAGAGUGCUCAAAGCAGGCUGUUAAAAGCUUGAAUAUUCGUGCAUGGAAUAAUAAAAUAGGAAGUCGUUUCUAUUUUGUUGGUUUUCAGAAAUCGACUUAAUGAUUAAUAGGGACAGUCGGGGGCAUUAGUAUUCAGACGACAGAGGUGAAAUUCUUGGACCGUCUGAAGACUAACUACUGCGAAAGCAUUUGCCAAGAAUGUUUUCAUUAAUCAAGAACGAAAGUUAGAGGUUCGAAGGCGAUCAGAUACCGCCCUAGUUCUAACCAUAAACGAUGCUAACUAGCGAUCCGCAGUUGUUUAACAUUACGACUCUGCGGGAAGCUUCCGAGAAAUCAAAGUUUUUGAGUUCCGGGGGAAGUAUGGUUGCAAAGCUGAAACUUAAAGGAAUUGACGGAAGGGCACCACCAGGAGUGGAGCCUGCGGCUUAAUUUGACUCAACACGGGAAAUCUCACCAGGCCCGGACACUGGAAGGAUUGACAGAUUGAGAGCUCUUUCUCGAUUCGGUGGGUGGUGGUGCAUGGCCGUUCUUAGUUGGUGGAGUGAUUUGUCUGGUUAAUUCCGAUAACGAACGAGACUCUGUCCUGCUAAAUAGUUUCAAUGUCAUUUUUUUUGCGUUGAAAAUUCUUCUUAGAGGGACUGGUAGCGUCUAGCUACACGAGAUUGAGCAAUAACAGGUCUGUGAUGCCCUUAGAUGUUCUGGGCUGCACGCGCGCUACACUGAGGGAAUCAGCGUGUUUUCCCUGGCCGAGAGGCUCGGGUAACCGCUUGAACCUCCCUCGUGGUUAGGGAUCGGGGCUUGCAAUUAUUCCCCGUGAACCAGGAAUUCCCAGUAAGCGUAAGUCAUAAGCUUACGUUGAUUACGUCCCUGCCCUUUGUACACACCGCCCGUCGCUACUACCGAUUGAAUGUUUUAGUGAGGUAUUUGGAUGGAACCUCUGGAGGGAAACCUCUCAGUGCUGUUCCAGAAGUUUCCCAAACUUGAGCAUUUAGAGGAAGUAAAAGUCGUAACAAGGUUUCC
rnacentral:rRNA from 1 species